UACGUAGGUGGCUAGCGUUGUCCGGAUUUACUGGGCGUAAAGGGCGCGUAGGCGGCCUUCUAAGUCGAACGUGAAAUCCCCGGGCUCAACCCGGGAACUGCGUCCGAUACUGGAAGGCUUGAAUCCGGGAGAGGGAUGCGGAAUUCCAGGUGUAGCGGUGAAAUGCGUAGAUAUCUGGAGGAACACCGGUGGCGAAGGCGGCAUCCUGGACCGGCAUUGACGCUGAGGCGCGAAAGCCAGGGGAGCAAACGGG
rnacentral:rRNA from 1 species